AUUGAACGCUGGCGGCAUGCCUUACACAUGCAAGUCGAACGGUAACGCGGGGCAACCUGGCGACGAGUGGCGAACGGGUGAGUAAUGUAUCGGAACGUGCCCAGUUGUGGGGGAUAACUGCUCGAAAGAGCAGCUAAUACCGCAUACGACCUGAGGGUGAAAGCGGGGGAUCGCAAGACCUCGCGCAAUUGGAGCGGCCGAUAUCAGAUUAGGUAGUUGGUGGGGUAAAGGCCCACCAAGCCGACGAUCUGUAGCUGGUCUGAGAGGACGACCAGCCACACUGGGACUGAGACACGGCCCAGGCUCCUACGGGAGGCAGCAGUGGGGAAUUUUGGACAAUGGACGCAAGUCUGAUCCAGCCAUGCCGCGUGCGGGAAGAAGGCCUUCGGGUUGUAAACCGCUUUUGUCAGGGAAGAAAAGGCUCCUUCUAAUAUAGGGGGCUCAUGACGGUACCUGAAGAAUAAGCACCGGCUAACUACGUGCCAGCCGCCGCCGUAAAAC
rnacentral:rRNA from 1 species